rnacentral:piRNA from 1 species
UAUAAAGUUCUUGCAUUGCAAGUAUGAGGAC